rnacentral:rRNA from 1 species
GAUGAACGCUGGCGGCGUGCCUAAUACAUGCAAGUCGAGCGAACGGACGAGAAGCUUGCUUCUCUGAUGUUAGCGGCGGACGGGUGAGUAACACGUGGAUAACCUACCUAUAAGACUGGGAUAACUUCGGGAAACCGGAGCUAAUACCGGAUAAUAUUUUGAACCGCAUGGUUCAAAAGUGAAAGACGGUUUUGCUGUCACUUAUAGAUGGAUCCGCGCUGCAUUAGCUAGUUGGUAAGGUAACGGCUUACCAAGGCAACGAUGCAUAGCCGACCUGAGAGGGUGAUCAGCCACACUGGAACUGAGACACGGUCCAGACUCCUACGGGAGGCAGCAGUAGGGAAUCUUCCGCAAUGGGCGGAAGCCUGACGGAGCAACGCCGCGUGAGUGAAGAAGGUCUUCGGAUCGUAAAACUCUGUUAUUAGGGAAGAACAUAUGUGUAAGUAACUGUGCACAUCUUGACGGUACCUAAUCAGAAAGCCACGGCUAACUACGUG